rnacentral:rRNA from 1 species
AUUGAACGCUGGCGGCAGGCCUAACACAUGCAAGUCGAACGGUAACAGGAAGCUGCUCGCUGCUUCGCUUACCAGUGGCGGACGGGUGAGAAAUGACUGGGCACCUGCCUGAUGGAGGGGGCUAACUACUGGAAACGGUAGCUACUACCGCCUAACGUCGCAAGACCAAAGAGGGGGACCUUAGGGCCUCUUGCCAUCGGCUGUGCCCAGGUGGGAUUAGCUAGUAGGUGGGGUAACGGCUCACCUAGGCGACGAUCUGUAGCUGGUCUGAGAGGACGACCAGCCACACUGGGACUGAGACACGGUCCAGACUCCUACGGGAGGCAGCAGUGGGGAAUAUUGGACAAUGGGCGAAAGCCUGAUGCAGCCAUGCCGCGUGUAUGAAGAAGGCCUUCGGGUUGUAAAGUACUUUUAGCGGGGAGGAAGAGAGUAAUGUUAAUACCAUGGCUCAUUGACGGUACCCGCAGAAGAAGCACCGGCUAACUCCGUG